UACGGAGGGUGCAAGCGUUAUCCGGAUUCACUGGGUUUAAAGGGUGUGUAGGCGGAUUUUUAAGUCAGUGGUGAAAUCUCCGGGCUCAACCCGGAAACUGCCAUUGAUACUAUUAGUCUUGAAUUCUGUUGAGGUGGGCGGAAUACAUCAUGUAGCGGUGAAAUGCUUAGAUAUGAUGUAGAACACCGAUUGCGAAGGCAGCUCACUAAGCAGACAUUGACACUGAGGCACGAAAGCGUGGGGAUCAAACAGG
rnacentral:rRNA from 1 species